AUUGAACGCUGGCGGCAUGCCUUACACAUGCAAGUCGAACGGCAGCACGGGAGCAAUCCUGGUGGCGAGUGGCGAACGGGUGAGUAAUAUAUCGGAACGUGCCCGGUCGUGGGGGAUAACGUAGCGAAAGCUACGCCAAUACCGCAUACGAUCUAUGGAUGAAAGCGGGGGAUCGCAAGACCUCGCGCGAUUGGAGCGGCCGAUAUCAGAUUAGGUAGUUGGUGAGGUAAAGGCUCACCAAGCCGACGAUCUGUAGCUGGUCUGAGAGGACGACCAGCCACACUGGGACUGAGACACGGCCCAGACUCCUACGGGAGGCAGCAGUGGGGAAUUUUGGACAAUGGGCGCAAGCCUGAUCCAGCAAUGCCGCGUGCAGGAUGAAGGCCUUCGGGUUGUAAACUGCUUUUGUACGGAACGAAACGGUGAGCUCUAAUACAGUUUGCUAAUGACGGUACCGUAAGAAUAAGCACCGGCUAACUACGUG
rnacentral:rRNA from 1 species